rnacentral:lncRNA from 1 species
UCAAUUAAUUACAUGUGUAUUAGCUUAGGGUUUAUUUUUAUUAGAAUCUCAUGUCAUAUAAUUCAUGAUGUUUGUGGGUAACAUCCCUGAAAACCCUCACGAGACAACACUCGUCCACUAGGGUAACCUAGGGGUUUAACGGCUUGUUGCACGUGCUAAGUGCAAUCGUGAUUCCUACGAAAGUGAGUACUUAUCUUAAUUUUAUGCAAUUAGUUCUAAUAAAACAUCAAAGGACCAACCAACACUUUUUGUACUCUCAUUUUAUCAGUUGCUUGUUAAUUGCUAGAGACUAGCAAUAAGCUAGUUGGGGGGUGUGAUGAGAGCACAAAAGUGCGAUGUACACAUUACUUAAAUUAGCAUUAUUGCUAACAAAUAAUGAUAACAGUGCUGCAUUAAUAUUUUAUUUUUGUUGGGUGCAGGUGAUCGUAAAUCAAAGUUAAAAUGCGCAUUGGGUCCAAAAGAUGCAUCACCGUAGGUGACCAGUCAACCGCAUGGUUCAACCCCAGUUGCACAUUAGAAGGAGUCUAAGUUCAGCAAGACAGUUCACUGCAAUUAAUUCCCAGCAUCUCGUGCAUCCCAGUUUCUUCUGCAUCUUAAGCCCAGGUGCCAACAUUCCAAUUCUUCCGUAUGCAAUCUC